CGGACGGGUGAGUAACGCGUGGAAAACCUGCCGUAUACUGGGGGAUAACACUUAGAAAUAGGUGCUAAUACCGCAUAAGCGCACAGCUUCGCAUGAAGUGGUGUGAAAAACUCUGGUGGUAUACGAUGGUUCCGCGUCUGAUUAGCUUGUUGGUGGGGUAAUGGCUCACCAAGGCGACGAUCAGUAGCCGGCCUGAGAGGGUGAACGGUCACAUUGGGACUGAGACACGGCCCAAACUCCUACGGGAGGCAGCAG
rnacentral:rRNA from 1 species